CUGCGCAGCUUACACAUGCAAGUCGAGCGGUAACAGGGGGUGCUUGCACCCCGCUGACGAGCGGCGGACGGGUGAGUAAUGCAUAGGAAACUGCCCAGUAGUGGGGGAUAGCCCGGGGAAACCCGGAUUAAUACCGCGUACGCCCUUCGGGGGAAAGCAGGGGAUCUUCGGACCUUGCGCUAUUGGAUGUGCCUAUGUCGGAUUAGCUAGUUGGUGGGGUAAAGGCCUACCAAGGCGACGAUCCGUAGCUGGUCUGAGAGGAUGAUCAGCCACAUCGGGACUGAGACACGGCCCGAACUCCUACGGGAGGCAGCAGUGGGGAAUAUUGGACAAUGGGGGCAACCCUGAUCCAGCCAUGCCGCGUGUGUGAAGAAGGCUUUCGGGUUGUAAAGCACUUUCAGUGAGGAGGAAAACUCUGCGACUAAUACUCGUAGGGCUUGACGUUACUCACAGAAGAAGCACCGGCUAACUCCGUGCCAGCAGCCGCGGUAAUACGGAGGGUGCAAGCGUUAAUCGGAAUUACUGGGCGUAAAGCGCGCGUAGGUGGUUUGAUAAGCGAGAUGUGAAAGCCCCGGGCUUAACCUGGGAACGGCAUUUCGA
rnacentral:rRNA from 1 species